AAAAAAAAAUCAAAAUCAAAAUCAAAAUCGAACUUCAUGAAAAUCAAAAUCGUAAAUGUCAAUUGAUAAUGCUGCAUUCUUUUUACUCAUGUAACUAUACGCAAAGAACAUUACAUAAGAUUUUAUUUUCAACACUCUGAUUUACACAUCAUCACAUAUAAAUCCACAGGUACUCUCACCCACAAAAAACCAAUUAUUCAUAUUUUUGUUCUGAGUAGGAAAACAAAAUUCUCAUCGACCUUGUUCAUCACAUCCACUUCAGAAUCAGAUUAAAAAAGAAAAGAAAAGAACAUGGAAUGGUAUAAUCUAUGCUGGAAGGAUCUAUUGAUUGGUCGCCAUUUCAAAAGAGCGAUGAUGCAGAAGGAAGAUUCGAGACAGCAGCAUUUCAACUCGAGAGAGGGAAUCAAAACACACACACAAACAUACACACAUACAUACCACAAGAGAAUUAUGAGGGCAAGCAAUCAAGCACCGUAUCCUUGUGCUCCAGUGGAGUGCGAUACAAUGCAAGCCGUCUGGUUCUGUGGUCAGUGAGGCAGCAGCAGCAGCAUUCUCCAGCCCUUCACGAUAAGCCUGUAAUGGUUUUUCGGGCCAUGGAGCUCACAAUGUCCGAGGCGGUCCCAAU
rnacentral:lncRNA from 1 species